rnacentral:misc_RNA from 1 species
AACGCACGAGACCUGCGGACCUGCGGAAGGAUCAUCAAAAAAAAAGAGAAGGGGGUGAAAGUUUCUUCACCCUCUCUUUUUUUAUUAAUUUUUUCUUUCUUUCCCCCUUUUUCCAUUAUACUCUCCUUCCUAGGAGUUGUAAUUAGAGAAAAAGGGGGUGAAGAAAAGAAACUUGUCGACUUCUUGUUGUCCCCUUUUUUAGAAGAGUUCCUUUUAAAAAAGGGGGUGGACCCUUUUCCC